rnacentral:rRNA from 1 species
GAUGAACGCUGGCGGCGUGCCUAAUACAUGCAAGUCGAGCGAACAGACGAGGAGCUUGCUCCUCUGACGUUAGCGGCGGACGGGUGAGUAACACGUGGAUAACCUACCUAUAAGACUGGGAUAACUUCGGGAAACCGGAGCUAAUACCGGAUAAUAUAUUGAACCGCAUUGUUCAAUGGUGAAAGACGGUUUUGCUGGCACUUAUAGAUGGAUCCGCGCCGCAUUAGCUAGUUGGUAAGGUAACGGCUUACCAAGGCAACGAUGCGUAGCCGACCUGAGAGGGUGAUCGGCCACACUGGAACUUAGACACGGUCCAGACUCCUACGGGAGGCAGCAGUAGGGAAUCUGACGCAAUGGGCGAAAGCCUGACGGAGCAACGCCGCGUGAGUUAUGAAGGUCUUCGGAUCGUAAAACCCUGUUAUUAGGGAAGAACAAAUGUGUAAGUAACUAUGCACGUCUUGACGGUACCUAAUCAGAAAGCCACGGCUAACUACGUG